rnacentral:lncRNA from 1 species
AUGGGCAUCCUCCUGUCCAUAUAUGGGACAUGGGGCUCUCACAACAUUCCUGGACUGAUGAAGCUUCUUUGCAAACGCUCUGGUUUGGAGGAAGCUGCAGAUCAUUUCUCACUGGACCCCCCCAUCCUUGCUGCCCCCCGGACUGGGACAAGGCACUGCCACGUGCACAUCAGGCUCAGGGCUCAGUGGAAAAGCAUCUCUCAGAAGUUUCCCACCAUUACCCAUGCACCCACCCCAGGAUGCGCUGCCACUGCGUGCACUAGCCCCAUGCCGGCCCCAUGGCACUGCCACGUCCGAAACCCCACAGAGAAACACCUAGUGCACGAGGGCCCCCUGUGCUCCACACCUGGGCAGGGUUGGGCUGUUUGCCCCAGGGCUCCCAUCCCAGCCAGAGAGGUUUUGCUGGAGGAAGAAGGACACAGCCCUGCAACGAGCUGUUCCCAAUCUGAGCCCAUGGCUUGGGAAGGCGCAGGCUCGCCUCCCACCAGGCUUUGGCUCAAUUUGAUAAUUAGUGGGGUGGUCACACAGCCAGGCCUUCCCCGGCUCGCAUGCCUCCCCAUGCUGCUCAGCCCUGAGCCCAGGGCUCUGCUCAGCUCCAGCUGCCAGCGGGAAUCAGCAGCACCCGCUGCCCAGGACUCUCCGAGCCCCACAGGGACGCAUGGAGCUGCCCUGCUUUGGGGGAGAGCCCAGGCACCCAGCUGGGUGCCCACACCGCCCCGAGCCAUUGUCACCAAUGUCACACUGCCACCACUCCCCAAAGUGCAGCCCCCACCUCCCCAUUUCCCACUCCCCACAUCCCAUCUCCUCUAUCCCAUGGGGAUCACUGCUUCUUUUCAGGGGAGGAAGCUGCAUCUCAUUCCCUGUGCCCAUGAGCAUGCCAAGCCCCAGCUCUGGUUCUGGGACAUGGGGAGGGCAGCCAGCAGCAUUUCCCCUCCAGCAAAGUAUCUUGCAGAGCACGCUGGCUUUGCAGGCAAAUCUGCCAUCAUGCUGGGGUAUCUCACCCGCCAUGCAUUGCUAUGA